GAUGAACGCUGACAGAAUGCUUAACACAUGCGAGUCGACUCGAGUCUUCGGACUUGGGUGGCGCACGGGUGAGUAACGCGUAAAGAACUUGCCCUCUAGACUGGGAUAACAGAUAGAAAUGUCUGAUAAUACCGGAUAUUAUUGUUACAUGGCAUCAUGUAGGAAUGGAAGGAUAAGAUUGCUAGAGGAGAGCUUUGCUUCCUAUUAGCUAGUUGGUAAGGUAGCGGCUUACCAAGGCGAUGAUAAGUAGCCGGCCUGAGAGGGUGGACGGCCACAAGGGGACUGAGACACGGCCCUU
rnacentral:rRNA from 1 species